GGUGGUCAGAGUACAGUGGUGUUUAUAAUUAACUGUCAUGGCUAGUUACAGGUUUCUUGGUUGCUUUUCCCAAUCCCACUGCCCCACUGGAGUAGCCUAAA
rnacentral:Y_RNA from 1 species